GAUGAACGCUGGCGGCGUGCUUAACACAUGCAAGUCGAGCGAGUGAGUUCUUCGGAACGAUCUAGCGGCGGACGGGUGAGUAACACGUGGGCAACCUGCCUCAUAGAGGGGAAUAGCCUCCCGAAAGGGAGAUUAAUACCGCAUAACAUCGUUGAAGGGCAUCCUUCGAUGAUCAAAGGAGCAAUCCGCUAUGAGAUGGGCCCGCGGCGCAUUAGCUAGUUGGUGAGGUAACGGCUCACCAAGGCGACGAUGCGUAGCCGCCCUGAGAGGGUGAUCGGCCACAUAGGGACUGAGACACGGCCCAGACUCCUACGGGAGGCAGCAGUGGGGAAUAUUGCACAAUGGGGGAAACCCUGAUGCAGCAACGCCGCGUGAGUGAUGACGGCCUUCGGGUUGUAAAGCUCUGUCUUUGGGGACGAUAAUGACGGUACCCAAGGAGGAAGUCACGGCUAACUACGUGCCAGCAGCCGCGGUAA
rnacentral:rRNA from 1 species